rnacentral:rRNA from 1 species
AGAGUUUGAUCCUGGCUCAGGAUGAACGCUAGCUACAGGCUUAACACAUGCAAGUAGAGGGGCAGCAUGUACGGGAUUUCGGUUCUGUAUGAUGGCGACCUGCGAAUGGGUGAGUAACGCGUAUCCAACCUGGCUGUCACUGGAGGAUAGCCCUCCGAAAGGAGAAUUAAGACUCCAUGCCAUGAAGAUGGGGCAUCCCAUAUUCAUGAAAGGUUACGGUGGCAGAUGGGGAUGCGUCCCAUUAGAUAGUAGGCGGGGUAACGGCCCACCUAGUCAUCGAUGGGUAGGGGUUCUGAGAGGAAGGUCCCCCACAUUGGAACUGAGACACGGUCCAAACUCCUACGGGAGGCAGCAGUGAGGAAUAUUGGUCAAUGGGCGGAAGCCUGAACCAGCCAAGUAGCGUGCGGGAAGAAUGCCCUAUGGGUUGUAAACCGCUUUUUCAGGGGGGUAAAGUGCUUCACGUGUGGAGCAUUGCAAGUACCCUGCGAAUAAGGACCGGCUAAUUCCGUGCCAGCAGCCGCGGUAAUACGGAAGGUCCGGGCGUUAUCCGGAUUUAUUGGGUUUAAAGGGAGCGUAGGCGGGUGUUCAAGUCAGUUGUGAAAAGCUUCGGCCCAACCGAGGUCGUGCAGUUGAAACUGGACAUCUUGAGUGCGCACGAGGACGGUGGAAUUCGUGGUGUAGCGGUGAAAUGCUUAGAUAUCACGAAGAACUCCGAUUGCGAAGGCAGCCGUCCGGAGCGUUACUGACGCUGAGGCUCGAAGGUGCGGGUAUCAAACAGGAUUAGAUACCCUGGUAGUCCGCACAGUAAACGAUGGAUGCCGGCUGUCGGCGACAAAAUGUCGGCGGCCACGCGAAAGUUUUAAGCAUCCCACCUGGGGAGUACGCCGGCAACGGUGAAACUCAAAGGAAUUGACGGGGGCCCGCACAAGCGGAGGAACAUGUGGUUUAAUUCGAUGAUACGCGAGGAACCUUACCCGGGCUUGAAUUGCAGACGACGGUGCAGGAGACUGCGCUUCCCUUCGGGGCGUCUGUGAAGGUGCUGCAUGGUUGUCGUCAGCUCGUGCCGUGAGGUGUCGGCUUAAGUGCCAUAACGAGCGCAACCCCUUCUCUCGGUUGCCAUCAGGUAAUGCUGGGCACUCCGGGGGUACUGCCAUCGCAAGAUGUGAGGAAGGCGGGGAUGACGUCAAAUCAGCACGGCCCUUACGUCCGGGGCUACACACGUGUUACAAUGGGGACUACAGAGGGCUGCAUCGCGGCGACGCGUUGCCAAUCCCUAAAGGUCUCCCCAGUUCGGACCGGAGUCUGCAACCCGACUCCGCGAAGCUGGAUUCGCUAGUAAUCGCGCAUCAGCCAUGGCGCGGUGAAUACGUUCCCGGGCCUUGUACACACCGCCCGUCAAGCCAUGAAAGCCGGGAGUGCCUGAAAGCCGUGACCGCGAGGGUCGGCCUAGGGUAAGACCGGUGAUUGGGGCUAAGUCGUAACAAGGUAGCCGUACCGGAAGGUGCGGCUG